rnacentral:rRNA from 1 species
GAUGAACGCUGGCGGCGUGCCUAAUACAUGCAAGUCGAGCGAACAGACGAGGAGCUUGCUCCUCUGACGUUAGCGGCGGACGGGUGAGUAACACGUGGAUAACCUACCUAUAAGACUGGGAUAACUUCGGGAAACCGGAGCUAAUACCGGAUAAUAUAUUGAACCGCAUGGUUCAAUAGUGAAAGACGGUUUUGCUGUCACUUAUAGAUGGAUCCGCGCCGCAUUAGCUAGUUGGUAAGGUAACGGCUUACCAAGGCAACGAUGCGUAGCCGACCUGAGAGGGGUAUCGGGCACACUGGAACUUAGACACGGUCCAGACUCCUACGGGAGGCAGCAGUAGGGAAUCUUCCGCAAUGGGCGAAAGCCUGACGGAGCAACGCCGCGUGAGUGAUGAAGGUCUUCGGAUCGUAAAACUCUGUUAUUAGGGAAGAACAAAUGUGUAAGUAACUAUGCACGUCUUGACGGUACCUAAUCAGAAAGCCACGGCUAACUACGUG